GUCUUUGUGGAGUAAUGCAACUCGCUCCCACUUGUUAUGUGGGCUACUAUACUGGCAGUCACGGGAGAGCCGGUGGUUCGAAUCCACCGAAAGACA